AGAAGACUCACACCCUAAAGUCCUCCGGAGGUCAGCUGACCUGGACUGAGUCUUUCUACUUCCCCUUCGCUUUGGACCAGGGCUUCCUGCUGUCAGUCAAACUCUACAGCCGCAGUUCUGUCAGACGGAAACACUACCUCGGACAGGUUCACCUUGGCUUCGACAGCCCAACACAGGAAGCAGCAGAGCAGUGGAGGGACAGCAUUUCUCACCCUGAGACGAUGGUGGCUGUAUGGCACAGACUCGACGGAUUCUGACACACCUGUAUAAAUUCACAGUGUCCCAAAGGAGUUGACAGCCUCACCUGUAUCGCCACCUGUACUGCCACCUAGUGGUAUAAAGUACUUCAGUAAAAAUACUUUAGUAGUUUUUGGAGGUAUCUGUACUUUAUUUUACUAUUUAUAUGUUUGCCAACUUUUAAUUUGACUUCACUACAUUCCUAAAGGAAAUAAUGACCUUGUAUUAUUUUGUAGAUAAAGUAUGUAGAUUAAACAUUUAUGUUGCAUAGACUUGUUUUGUGUAGUGCCAUAUGUUGUAUGUUCAGUUGAUAUAAUAUAAUAUUUUAGAGGACAGAUAUUUGGCAGCGGGGUAGCCUAGUGGUUAGAGCAUUGGGCCAGUAACCGAAAGGUUGCAAGUUCGAAUCCCCGAGCUGACAAGGUAGAAGGAAAUCUGUUGUUCUGCCCCCUGAACAAGACAGUUAACCCACUGUUCCCCGGUCUUUGUAAAUAAGAAUUUGUUCUUAACUGACUUAAAUAAUGGUAUAAUAAAAAUAUAAAGCAUU